GCCCGCAUAGCUCAGUCGGUAGAGCAUCAGAUUUUUAAUCUGCGGGUCGCGGGUUCGAGUCCCUCUGUGGGUG
rnacentral:tRNA from 1 species